rnacentral:rRNA from 1 species
GAUUAAUAAAACUCUUCCGGGUGAAAGCGGCGGACGGGUGAGUAAUGUCUGGGAAACUGCCUGAUGGAGGGGGAUAACUACUGGAAACGGUAGCUAAUACCGCAUAACGUCUUCGGACCAAAGAGGGGGACCUUCGGGCCUCUUGCCAUCAGAUGUGCCCAGAUGGGAUUAGCUAGUAGGUGAGGUAAUGGCUCACCUAGGCGACGAUCCCUAGCUGGUCUGAGAGGAUGACCAGCCACACUGGAACUGAGACACGGUCCAGACUCCUACGGGAGGCAGCAGUGGGGAAUAUUGCACAAUGGGCGCAAGCCUGAUGCAGCCAUGCCGCGUGUGUGAAGAAGGCCUUCGGGUUGUAAAGCACUUUCAGCGGGGAGGAAGGCGGUGAGGUUAAUAACCUCAUCGAUUGACGUUACCCGCAGAAGAAGCACCGGCUAACUCCGUGCCAGCAGCCGCGGUAAUACGGAGGGUGCAAGCGUUAAUCGGAAUGACUGGGCGUAAAGCGCACGCAGGCGGUUUGUUAAGUCAGAUGUGAAAUCCCCGAGCUUAACUUGGGAACUGCAUUUGAAACUGGCAAGCUAGAGUCUUGUAGAGGGGGGUAGAAUUCCAGGUGUAGCGGUGAAAUGCGUAGAGAUCUGGAGGAAUACCGGUGGCGAAGGCGGCCCCCUGGACAAAGACUGACGCUCAUGUGCAAAAGCGUGGGGAGCAAACAGGAUUAGAUAC